GGCUUGAUAGCUCAGUUGGUAGAGCACUGUACUGCACUCGCAGAGGUCAUGGGUUCGAAUCCCGUUCAAGCCU